UACGUAGGGGGCAAGCGUUGUUCGGAAUUACUGGGCGUAAAGGGCGCGUAGGCGGCCCGCUAAGUCGAACGUGAAAUCCCCAGGCUCAACCUGGGAACUGCGUCCGAUACUGGCAGGCUUGAAUCCGGGAGAGGGAUGUGGAAUUCCAGGUGUAGCGGUGAAAUGCGUAGAUAUCUGGAGGAACACCGGUGGCGAAGGCGGGUCUCUGGGCCGAUACUGACGCUGAGGAGCGAAAGCGUGGGGAGCGAACAGG
rnacentral:rRNA from 1 species